GACAGAGGGUGCAAACGUUGUUCGGAAUUACUGGGCGUAAAGCGCGUGUAGGCGGCAGGGCAAGUCGGAUGUGAAAUCCCGUGGCUCAACCACGGAAGUGCACCCGAAACUGCCCAGCUAGAGUCUCGGAGAGGAAGGUGGAAUGCUUGGUGUAGAGGUGAAAUUCGUAGAUAUGCGGAGGAACACCGGUGGCGAAGGCGGCAUCCUGGACCGGUAUUGACGCUGAGGCGCGAAAGCUAGGGGAGCAAACGGGG
rnacentral:rRNA from 1 species